AUGUCGUUCGCCAGUGACAAACUUUGGAAUGGAUAUUUGCGGCAGAACAUGUCAACUAUUGUUAGUAAAGUGAAAGUGAGAGAAAUUGUGCCAUAUUUGCAGUGCCUGACCACACAUGACAGGGAAAAUAUAGAAGCAAAACGAGAAACUAAUGGUAAUUAUGAUGCCAUGAUUGUUCUCCUUGAGUGUCUAAAGAGAAGAGAAAAUUGGGCAGAGCAGUUCAUCGAGGGCCUGGAGGCAUGUGAGCAGUCAACGCUUGCAGCUGAGAUGAGAGCAGAAUACAGAGCUCUGACCGGUCGUAACAGUACCGACUCUGGUCCUGUUCCCUCUCCAACAACUGUGGUCAGGGUACAUGUUCAUCCAGCACCGUCUGCCACUCAGCUACCCAUUCCAGAGAGUGGUGGAAACAUGCAAGCUGCUGUGGCCCCCCCAGCAGAAACAGAACGAGCUGCUCAGGCCCAAUACUCUGUGGAAACACCCUCACAGCAGCAAGCAGUUCAAGUUCCUGAAGCUGUUCCCCCACCUGAGCCUGUCCCUGAUCCUCCGGUGUCAACAGAGAGAGCUCCCCUUCUUCCAUCCACACUGCCGCCUUCCCCAGAAAUCUCACACGCUCAAGCAGCAAAGGCCCCACAGCCACAAGAAAUAGUCUGUUCUCACCUGGAGCCGGAGGAGAACUCUGAAUCAAACACUCAAGCUGUCCCUGGAAACACUAGUCUAAUCCAAGACGAGGUGAAUUCAGGAAACAAAAAAGUUGUCAGUGUUGUGGUGCCCCCUCAAGAACACCAUCUGGUGUCAACCAGUGAAACGGGCGCCUCACCUCCAGAUCAUUUCCACUCAGCACUUACCACAAAUAACAAGCCACCGCACGGCCCAAACUUAGACGGCUCCUCUGUCCCGACAAUGACACCAGAGAAGCAGCCGGUCCAGGACACCACUCCUCUGGUCAACAAAGUUCCCACUGCUGUUCUGCUGGCCUCUAAACCUGCAGCCACACAGAUUUUCAUAAGCAGCCCGUUGACAGGACAUGAAGUUACAACCUCUCCUGAUGGAAUGAACGCCUCUCGUGUCGAUGAGGAUUAUGAAACUGUGUGUCUGAGCAAGCCAAAUCAACUCAUCAGCUUUCAACCAGAAAAUCCUGCAAGUCCAGUCCAGGCAUCAAGUCCACAUGUUCAGCUUUACUCUGGUGACACUGGACGUCUGGAAAUAAGUCAGGAUUCAUCUGACACAGUGACUCCAGCCCUGUCCGUCCAAGAAAAUGGAACCACUGUUAAUCAGAAUGAACCUGAGGAGAACCAUUAUGAGUCUCCAAAUCAGAGCAUGGAAGAGGUGCUGGAGAAUGUGGUGUGUGUAUCGGAGGUGCCAUCGGUCUCUAACCUGGAUGGUCAAACUACAGUGCCACAUGAUGAAAUUAUCAGUAAAAGCAAUUCUGAACCACCAAUAUUCACUAAUGCUGCUGUGUCAAGGUCAAACUCCCCUCACAGUGAGAACAGCAACCCCUCUGAGCCAAAAGCCCUGCAGAUUUCAGAAAAAAUGAUUGCUCCCUACACCCCUCCAUGCCAGUCAAAUAAUGCAAAAUACUUUCUGGUGGCUGCAGCGGUUGGUGUCUGUGCGCUGCUGAUGGUAUGGAAGUUUAAAAAAUAAAAGGUAUUUAUUACCUAUAAUGAAAGGGGAGUUAAGGUUAUGGUUCCUUACUGAAGUCACUACACAAGGAUGGCACAAAGCCUUGGGGGGUGGUCAUUUUGACCCAAGGGCAGCAAGAGGGGUUGUGGUCUUUCUGCUGUCAGAAUAUUGUGGGCACAUCAUGAACCUUGUUGAAUGCAGACUGUAGAUGAAUGGGUUCCAGCAUUUUAUUGCAAGAUUUAAAUAUUUUUGUCAGGUAAGCAUUGCUAAAACUACAUGAUGGUUAGUGUCCUUUAUAUUUAUUUGAACAUUGACACAAAUAGGUCUCUACAUACAUAUUAUUAAACUCAAAGCAUUAGUGAUCAUCUAAAUCACAAAUAUUCUGAUGCAUGCUCAAUAAUCCAGGUA